CCUACGGGUGGCAGCAGUGAGGAAUAUUGGUCAAUGGACGAGAGUCUGAACCAGCCAAGUAGCGUGAAGGAUGACUGCCCUAUGGGUUGUAAACUUCUUUUAUAUGGGAAUAAAACAGGGCACGUAUACCUUUUUGCAUGUACUAUAUGAAUAAGGAUCGGCUAACUCCGUGCCAGCAGCCGCGGUAAUACGGAGGAUCCGAGCGUUAUCCGGAUUUAUUGGGUUUAAAGGGAGCGUAGGUGGGUUGUUAAGUCAGUUGUGAAAGUUUGCGGCUCAACCGUAAAAUUGCAGUUGAUACUGGCAGUCUUGAGUACAGUUGAGGUAGGCGGAAUUCGUGGUGUAGCGGUGAAAUGCUUAGAUAUCACGAAGAACUCCGAUUGCGAAGGCAGCUUACUAAACUGCGACUGACACUGAUGCUCGAAAGUGUGGGUAUCAAACAGGAUUAGAUACCCUGGUAGUC
rnacentral:rRNA from 1 species